AUGGAGGAAUUUUUUUUUUUUUUUGCGCUCCCUCGCAAUAAUCUACUUAUCAGUUAUGCGGCAUAAUUGAAUACUGUAAGCCUUUCUUACGGAGGCCGCCGUACUUUCUGCCUUAAUACAAGGUUAUGUAAGGUUUUUUCAUAUAUGUUAAUAUCUCUUUGUGAAAUAUCUGACAUUUUAUAUCUUUUUCUUUAGUAUAGAAAGGCACCACAAACCUAUGAUGUAAACAGAAACUUUCUAUGAGUAGGAAAGAAAUAAAAAUACAUCCAAACUAUUUGGCCUAUUUCUGAGUUAUUAUCUCGGGUAAUAAGCCAUCUGGCAGUUUUGAUUGUUUCUCUGUUGUGUUCGUAGUCUGAAUGGUUUAAAGAGCUGCUUUCAGUUCCAUCUUAGCCUUAACAGACAUAAACAUGCA